CCUACGGGUGGCAGCAGUAGGGAAUCUUCCGCAAUGGACGAAAGUCUGACGGAGCAACGCCGCGUGAGCGAUGAAGGCCUUCGGGUCGUAAAGCUCUGUCCUAAGGGAAGAAUAAUGACGGUACCUUAGGAGGAAGCCCCGGCUAACUACGUGCCAGCAGCCGCGGUAAUACGUAGGGGGCAAGCGUUAUCCGGAAUCACUGGGUGUAAAGGGUGCGUAGGCGGUAGGGCAAGUCAGAUGUGAAAGCCCGGGGCUCAACCUCGGGAUUGCAUUUGAAACUGUCUUACUAGAGUGCAGGAGAGGAAAGCGGAAUUCCUAGUGUAGCGGUGAAAUGCGUAGAUAUUAGGAAGAACACCAGUGGCGAAGGCGGCUUUCUGGACUGUAACUGACGCUGAGGCACGAAAGCGUGGGGAGCGAACAGGAUUAGAUACCCCAGUAGUC
rnacentral:rRNA from 1 species